UGGGGAAUAUUGGGCAAUGGGCGCAAGCCUGACCCAGCAACGCCGCGUGAGGGAAGAAGGUCUUCGGAUUGUAAACCUCUGUCCUUGGGGACGAAAAAAAUGACGGUACCCAAGGAGGAAGCUCCGGCUAACUACGUGCCAGCAGCCGCGGUAAUACGUAGGGAGCGAGCGUUGUCCGGAAUUACUGGGCGUAAAGGGUGCGUAGGCGGUUUGGCAAGUCAGAUGUGAAGUCCCCGGGCUUAACUCGGGUGGUGCAUUUGAAACUGCUGAACUUGAGUGAAGGAGAGGAAAGCGGAAUUCCUAGUGUAGCGGUGAAAUGCGUAGAUAUUAGUAGGAACACCAGUGGCGAAGGCGGCUUUCUGGACUGUAACUGACGCUGAGGCACGAAAGCGUGGGGAGCAAACA
rnacentral:rRNA from 1 species